rnacentral:rRNA from 1 species
GAAGGUGUGUCGUGAGGCAUGCUGGAGGUAUCAGAAGUGCGAAUGCUGACAUAAGUAACGAUAAAGCGGGUGAAAAGCCCGCUCGCCGGAAGACCAAGGGUUCCUGUCCAACGUUAAUCGGGGCAGGGUGAGUCGCCCCCUAAGGCGAGGCCGAAAGGCGUAGUCGAUGGGAAACGGGUUAAUAUUCCCGUACUUGGUGUUACUGCGAAGGGGGGACGGAGAAGGCUAUGUUGGCCGGGCGACGGUUGUCCCGGUUUAAGCGUGUAGGUGUGUGUUCCAGGUAAAUCCGGUUCACUUUAACACUGAGGCGUGACGACGAGGCACUACGGUGCUGAAGCAACAAAUGCCCUGCUUCCAGGAAAAGCCUCUAAGCAUCAGGUAACAUCAAAUCGUACCCCAAACCGACACAGGUGGUCAGGUAGAGAAUACCAAGGCGCUUGAGAGAACUCGGGUGAAGGAACUAGGCAAAAUGGUGCCGUAACUUCGGGAGAAGGCACGCUGACACGUAGGUGAAGUGAUUUACUCAUGGAGCUGAAGUCAGUCGAAGAUACCAGCUGGCUGCAACUGUUUAUUAAAAACACAGCACUGUGCAAACACGAAAGUGGACGUAUACGGUGUGACGCCUGCCCGGUGCCGGAAGGUUAAUUGAUGGGGUCAGCGCAAGCGAAGCUCCUGA